rnacentral:rRNA from 1 species
CCUACGGGUGGCAGCAGUGAGGAAUAUUGGUCAAUGGGAGAGAUCCUGAACCAGCCAAGCCGCGUGAGGGAAGACGGCCCUAUGGGUUGUAAACCUCUUUUGUCGGAGAACAAAACCCGGGACGUGUCCCGGACUGCGUGUAUCCGAAGAAAAAGCAUCGGCAAAAUCCGUGCCAGCAGCCGCGGUAAUACGGAGGAUGCGAGCGUUAUCCGGAUUUAUUGGGUUUAAAGGGUGCGUAGGCGGUCAGUUAAGUCAGCGGUAAGAUUGCGGGGCUCAACGCCGUCGAGCCGUUGAAACUGGUAAACUUGAGUUGGCGAGGGGUAAGCGGAAUGCGCGGUGGAGCAGUGAAAUGCGUAGAUAUCGCGAAGAACUCCAAUUGCGAAGGCAGCGUACCGGCGCCAGACUGACGCUGAGGCACGAAAGCGUGGGGAUCGAACAGGAUUAGAUACCCUAGUAGUC